GCCAGUACUAUGCAGCUCGAUGCCUGAUUAGCUAGUUGGUGAGGUAAAGGCUUACCAAGGCGACGAUCAGUAGCUGGUCUGAGAGGACGACCAGCCACACUGGGACUGAGACACGGCCCAGACUCCUACGGGAGGCAGCAGUGGGGAAUUUUGGACAAUGGGGGAAACCCUGAUCCAGCCAUGCCGCGUGAGUGAAGAAGGCCUUCGGGUUGUAAAGCUCUUUCAGCCGGAACGAAACGGUCACGGCUAAUACCUGUGACUACUGACGGUACCGGAAGAAGAAGCACCGGCUAACUACGUGCCAGCAGCCGCGGUAAUACGUAGGGUGCGAGCGUUAAUCGGAAUUACUGGGCGUAAAGCGUGCGCAGGCGGUUUUGUAAGUCAGAUGUGAAAUCCCCGGGCUUAACCUGGGAACUGCGUUUGAAAUA
rnacentral:rRNA from 1 species